rnacentral:snRNA from 1 species
GGAUUUGAGGGCACUCUGACUGCUACAUCUGUCACCUCCAUAGAUUUCCAGGUUUGAUUUGGCUGGUCUGGCUGCCUAGGGAGGUGUCUCCUUCCUCUCUCACUUAUCCAUGUGUGUCCCUACUGAGGUUGCAUACUUGGUAGAAGAGCACAACCACCCCUAACGGAGGAAGACCAUUUCUUUGGUCAAGUGUAUAUGAGUAGCUUCACUCCCCUGCUAAAAUUUUGAAAUAGCCUCUCAAAACAAAUUUCAUAGUAUCCCAGAAAGCAUGCUACAGUAAAUGCAAAAAAACCAAAACUUU